UCGGACGGGUGAGUAACGCGUGAGAAUUUGGCUUCAGGUCGGGGACAACAGUUGGAAACGACUGCUAAUACCGGAUAUGCCGGAAGGUGAAAGAUUUAUUGCCUGGAGAUAAGCUCGCGUCUGAUUAGCUAGUUGGUGGGGUAAGAGCCUACCAAGGCGACGAUCAGUAGCUGGUCUGAGAGGAUGAUCAGCCACACUGGGACUGAGACACGGCCCAGACUCCUACGGGAGGCAGCAGUGGGGAAUUUUCCGCAAUGGGCGAAAGCCUGACGGAGCAAUACCGCGUGAGGGAGGAAGGCUCUUGGGUCGUAAACCUCUUUUCUCAGGGAAGAAAAAAAUGACGGUACCUGAGGAAUAAGCAUCGGCUAACUCCGUGCCAGCAGCCGCGGUAAUACGGAGGAUGCAAGCGUUAUCCGGAAUGAUUGGGCGUAAAGGGUCUGUAGGUGGUGCUGUAAGUCUGCUGUUAAAGAGUCACGCUCAACGUGAUAAAAGCAGUGGAAACUACAGGACUAGAGUGCGUUCGGGGCAGAAGGAAUUCCUGGUGUAGCGGUGAAAUGCGUAGAUAUCAGGAAGAACACCGGUGGCGAAAGCGUUCUGCUAGGCCGCAACUGACACUGAGGGACGAAAGCUAGGGGAGCGAAUGGGAUUAGAUA
rnacentral:rRNA from 1 species